GUAAGCUCUAUAUAAACUAGGAUAUAUGUGAAUAAGCAAAUAUGAUCUUUUUCUAAAGAGUAAUAUCCACCUGAAUAUGUUGUAUUAAACACUUUUUAACCCAUACAUCUGAAAAAUUCGGCCUCAGUGAAAAAAAUGAGUUGAAUGGAUUUAUAAAGGAUAAAACUGAUAUAUAAAUAAAAUUGUUAUUUUAUGCUUAUCUUAUAGACAGAAGAAAACAUAUAAAUUGAAAACACACUUUUAUUGCAACACCGAGCAAGAAAUUUCAAGUUUCACCCUGUGUAUGUCUGUGUCCUUGGGUCUGUCAAGUUGAAGGUCACUCACUAACACUUUGGAAGGAAAGAUUUCUGCCAAGAGGGAGGUUUGAUGAAGAGAAACAUCUCUGAGAGUAUACAGACAUGCAUCUUGUGUUGUCACUUCUUCAAGUUUUUGGAAGUGCUGGGAAGGAGAAGAAGCUGUAAUUGAAAUGGGCAGGCGUGGCAGGAGAAAAGAAGAGGCAAAAUAAAUAUGGGGAAUGAUAACAGAAACAUGAAUCAAGCACUAUUGCAGCUCAGGGGACACUGGGUAGGAGAGAAAGCAGUGUCCACUUGAGAGGCCGUGGAAGAAGCAAUGUCAUCAAGAAACAUCUGAAAUGAAGUCGAGAAUACCAAGAGGCCAUAAAAUGGAGCCAGAAGACCCCUGGGAAGGAUUCAAUGACUUUUGUAAAGAAUGAAAAGGAUGCUAAGAACCUGCUGUUAGAACUUUAAAAGAUGCAAUGCAAAAUGUUACUGAAGUCAUUCAAGAAUACUUCAGAAGAAAAUUAUUCCAAGGCCAAGCAAAUUAUUAUGAUUAUGAUGCAAGUAAACGAUGGUGUGAAGUAAUUAUUAUCAGUGACAAAAAAUGAAAAGAAACCAGACUUUUGACAA